rnacentral:rRNA from 1 species
GACGAACGCUGGCGGCGUGCCUAAUACAUGCAAGUAGAACGCUGAAGCUUGGUGCUUGCACCGAGCGGAUGAGUUGCGAACGGGUGAGUAACGCGUAGGUAACCUGCCUGGUAGCGGGGGAUAACUAUUGGAAACGAUAGCUAAUACCGCAUAAGAGUAGAUGUUGCAUGACAUUUGCUUAAAAGGUGCAAUUGCAUCACUACCAGAUGGACCUGCGUUGUAUUAGCUAGUUGGUGAGGUAACGGCUCACCAAGGCAACGAUACAUAGCCGACCUGAGAGGGUGGUCGGCCACACUGGGACUGAGACACGGCCCAGACUCCUACGGGAGGCAGCAGUAGGGAAUCUUCGGCAAUGGACGGAAGUCUGACCGAGCAACGCCGCGGGAGGGAAGAAGGUUUUCGGAUCGUAAAGCUCUGUUGUAAGGGAAGAACGAGUGUGAGAGUGGAAAGUUCACACUGUGACGGUAUCUUACCAGAAAGGGACGGCUAACUACGUG